AGAUUUGGCCGUUUUUUCACUCACAAACACGGAAGGAAUGUCAAUCUGCUUCAUUAUGUCCACUAGAAACCAAAAGAAUAGAAAUUUGAAGAAAAAAAAUAAUAAUCAAGACUUCUUGAUUGCUAAGUUUGGCUAUGUGAUAUUAUUGCAAAGUGAAAACCCAACUCAAACCAAGCUGAGGAUAGCCGAGUUGAGUUAUGCGGUGCCAAGGUGGCUAAAGAGGAUCUUCUUAUUUAAUACUUGAUUCAAAUGUUAGUGUUGACCAAUGUAUUCCACCACCAUCCGAUGUAAGGUUGGUGUCAUAGCUGUCUUGAAUGCAUGCUUAAUUGUCAAAUAUGACAAAGGUUGAACAUAAUUGGAAUGAAAGUCAACCUGACCGCAGCAGUGCUUUCAAGAAAAGUGAACGCCAAGGGAUGAGCAGCUGUAAUUGAGCUGCCAUUCUUAGCUGACCAGUUAUCAAGUGUGAUUUUACAGCUAUUACAGGAGCUUCACCAUGGAAAAAUAUCAGGAGCUGAGCUGCCAGCCAGGUGUGAAAAGGAGAUAUGGUUAAAUGGGGCACGUCUCAACAAGAAGAAACACGCCCGGCAGGUCUGUAAGCGAGCGUACGGCGAAUUUGCACCUCGUGGAUGAUUUAUCAUGCUGCUCCCCUUCAAGUGAGGACAGGGUACAGAUACUAUCAUGGUGACUAAAGCAGGCUGUGCUCAGCCACCGUAGGGCAUCGCAACAUUCCGGGAAACAUCUUGGGACUUGAUAGGGAGUCCUCAACUCUUCUCGGGCUUUGUAAGCAGGUAGCUGUUGAGGAAACUUACAAUCGUUGGAGCCCAUGCUGAUCAAGUCAUCGGAGUCCACAUUGUGAACAAUGGCUGCCUUGUACCCAGCUUUCUGUGCAUUGAGGACCUGGGAGAAGACAACAUUUGCAUCCUGGUUAGCAUAGAUUCAUUUGGAGUGCAUCAAGAAAGCUUCCCUCAUUUUGUUAUGUUCCAGCUGGAAGCAUCUAAAUGUAUUAUCACAUGUUGCAGAGAAUGAAGUAGAAUGGUGACAUGGUGGUGCAAGCAGCCCAUUCCCCAAGAGUCUUUACAAGAAACAACAAGCUUGCUUCACACACACCCAAGGCCCAUCGCAUUCCCUCGGAUACGAUAAACACACAACUUGCCCAUGCAGGUUCAUCUAAAACUCCAAGGAGACUUUCAUUCAAGAACAACCACGGUUUUUCAUACUGCAAGAAAAAACAGGACUUCAACAUGUUUGGUGGGUGGAGCAUUAGCUAUGAUCUCCUAGCAUAUAAAUUUCAUUUGAAGUAAUUUUAUGAUUACUUCCUUUUAUGACUGUGUUCUGUCAUAAAGUGACGUUUUGGACUGUGGUCAGUCAUAAAAUAACGGCUUGGUGCUCUGCCCCUUUGCACGGCGUUCUCACAAAGGCGAACCAAAUUUUGGGACGCCAUCCAGUCAAACUGGCCAAGGUGAAGAGUAAAGGACAGUGAGUCAGGACUUUGUCAUCUAGUCUGAGAGUCCACCACAAAGACCACGGAAAUGAUGGUGGACUUGAGAAAUCCAAGACCUCAUGUACCCUAUUAAAUUACUACAGUGGUGUGCGAUUAAAAAAAAAAGCAUUUUAUAAAGGAUGUUUGGGGGUGCAGCAUCUCAGCUGCCCAUGUUUGCUGCAUCAUGGAUGUGCAGGAAACGUAAUGAAUGAAUGGGCUCCCAUUCAGGACAGAAGCUGUGGUAUCCUGUUUAGUUAUUGUUAUAAUGGGCUCGCUGACAGCAGAUGUUGAGAAGGAAAUAGGAUGUGACAAAAUAAUCUUGUAAUAAUACAUUUGUGUUCUGGCCUUGAUAGACUUGGAACUAAGGAGUCAAACAACUGAUGAUUCACUGUCCUUUGACUUUCUAAUGAAGAUGAACAAAAAGGAAGGACUAUCAAUUUGUUGGAAUGAACUCAAUGUUGACAACUUUCAUUUAUUAUUAUGACAGAUGACUGACAAUCAAGGUAGUGACACUCAUGUUGACAUGUAUCUUCUCUUGACUUACAUGGUGUGUGUAUAUAUAUCAUAGAAUGACCAAGUUUAUCAUCUCAAAUCUUCAGAUUCUGAUUCUAGGAAAAAGAAAACCCCCCAAAAAACGCAAUGCUUUGACACUGUAGCUGUCCACUGUAGCUCAAACCAGCUUCUCACCGUAAAAUAACUCUGCCACCAUGCAAUCCAUUUAGAUCUGUGACGAGCCAACUGUGUAUGUGUGACGCUUAAGGCAGAACAGCCCUGUCUUUUGUCUGCGUCAUGUCAUUGUGAUUCUAUGAGCGUGCACGCAUAUGUUGAAUCGGUGUGUAUGGCAGUCGAACCAAUGUGACUGGAUGUGUUUGGCUAUGAAGGUGUAUUGUUUGGAUGUAUCAAUAGCCAUUAUCUGGAGGAGGGACAUGCAUGGACAAUUAUUGGAUUUGUGUGAUAAGAAGAGCUGACUCUAGCACCCUAAGCAUUGUAUCAAUCCAUAGACUGCAUAAAGAUUAGAUUAGUGAUGAAACAGUGACAGAGAACGUUCAUUUGCAUACCAUUAUUGUCUUUUGUCAUUCGUUAGAUUACAAAAGCACCGUUUGUGCGAUCUGUCUGUGCAAGAGGAAUUCAGCCACUGCAGAAAUAUGGACAUUUGAUACAUUCCUGAGACUAAAAGGGGGAGGAGGGCUCAAAAAGGAGAGCAGAAGUGAGAGAAUGAGAAAAAGAGAAGUGCAAGGUCUCAAAAGAGGGGGAAAAUAAUGCAUGGGGGACUAGAAACUGUCACGCAUUUCUGCAUUGCUCUUCCACUCAUAUGGUCGCUAGUGGUACAUAUCUUUUGCGUAAAGUUAGUAAACAAUGUUUCUGAGAACCCGCAGCUGGGAAGACAUGGAAUCAUUUACAUUUCUAAAGUCUGUCAAACUAGGACAUACCUUGCUUGACAGACUAACCGGUUUCCCUAGCUUGGUUAUUCAUUACCACAUUCGGGCUUGUGCUUCCCCCCCUCCCCCCCCUAUCUACUUUCAUCUGCAUUGGAGACCAGACAAGACUGAGACGAGUGGAUUUACCAUAUGGUUUCCAUAAAGACUAAAAACACGGCUAAAGUUUCAAGAAUGCAAACAGGAGGGGAGUGACUGAAAGCGGAUAUUAUAAUAAAUAUCCACUCAUCCUUUCUGACUACAUCUUUACAUCUGCCCAGUCACAACUCUGAUGUCACUACACUCAAGCCUUUCUUCCUUGCCUCCCGUCUACCCCCCGCCCCUUUUUUUUGCCAUGCACUCACUUGUCUUCCUCCGAAGCACCCAACCCCCAUUCCCCACCCUCUCCUUGGGUUUCAGAGGAAUCUCACAAAAGGUUUUUAGCACCAAGGUCCGGACGGCUGAUUAGAUAAAGCGUUCAAUAAACUUGCACACUGCAGGGGAGGAGUCCAGCACAAUGAUAAUCCUGCACAGCUGCAAAGUUAUUUUAUUGUGUGCGAGAUGAUCAUUUUGUUUGCUGUGUAACCAUAUGGGUGUGGUGAAAUUUGUCUCUGCAUUUAACCCAUCCCCGAAGGGAGCAGUGAGCAGCAGCGGUGGCGCGCCCGGGAAUCAUUUGGUGAUCUAACCCCCCAAUUCCAACCCUUAAUGGGAGGGAGUGGGUCCCAUUUUUAUAGUCUUUGGUAGCAAGUUCUCUUUCUUUCACACUUGUCUUAGGGAGAGAAGCUAUUGUGUUCAUUAUCAUAUCGAGAGACCAAAUAGAUCAUUCGCUUAUCAGAUUUGGCACGACACAUUACACUCAAUACAUAAGACAAAGGCUGACUCGUUUUAAGUACAAGGACGUAUGUCUUGUAUAUAAAAAAACAUGCUGUGGAAAUUGGAAAUAUUUAGAGCAGGGGUGUCAAACUUGUUUUUUUCACGGGCCGCAUUGUAGUCAUAGCUUCUUUCGGAGGGCCAUUAUGACUGUCAACCCAAAUAAAUGUAUGAGCACCUCAUACUAUAUACAGUAAAAGCUACAAAACAAAAUCAGAGGAGUAAAAACUGGUCAAAUAUUUAAAAUAUAAAUUAAAAGUGGAGACAAUUUGCAAUUCUAGUAGUGACACACGAAUUUGAUGCACAAUUUGUCUUGGCGGGCCACCUAAAAUGAUGUGGCGGGGCCGUAUCUGGGCCCCCGGGCCUUGAGUUUGACACCUGUGAUUUAGAGAAACACUGUACAGUGUGUGUUUUCAUAUGUGGAGCAGUCUGUGCUGUUUAUUGCCACAACACAUUGCAAGACAAAUGGACAACUUGAAGAAUCAGCACCCACAAACAUUCAGCAGUCAUACAUUCAGUCAGCCGUAGUCAUGAGACUGCGUGCGGAAAGCUAGCUCAUCAAGUUAAUAAAGCUAGCUCUGUACGUGUGGUGUUUGUUAUUGUGCAUAGCUCCAGGGCUGUGAGGUCAGUGAGGCACAAACAGAAUUUGCCUUACAACCAGCAGACCCUGUAAGAUGAGUUUUUUUUUCAAGAUAAGAAAUGGUCAAUUCAAAUGGUGAUAAAACUGGUGCUGAAAAAAUUACCUCUGAAGGCCACACCUUAGUCAGCCAGUGUUUCAAACAUGUUAUUUCUGGUGGUAAAAAAAAAAAAAAAAAAAAAGAUGAGGAAGUAACACCGCCACACCCAAAGCAAAGAUAUGCCUAAGUACUCUUUUUAAUUUUUGUUACCCUGCUAACAUCUCGAUGGGCCAUAUUGUCAUGUUGAAACGUGCUGUGGCUAGCGAUCUUUGUAUGAUUUCAUUUGAUAAAAACUACUGAGAUUUAGAAUGAAAAACUUUAUAGCGAGCAGUGUGAUUGGUUCGUUUAUUACUUCACUGGGUGCGGCCCCUUUAGGGGUAAGCGAGAAUGAAAGAGAGGAAGAGAGAGAGCGCCACCUUGAGAGUUAUUAAAAGAGUCUUUCACUGCAUUUAUGUUACCAUAAUUAAUCACAUUUUUACACUCACUAAAAAUUGUCCUGUAUAAUUAAAAUCAUUCAACUUCCUCUGUUAGCCACUGUAAGCUGAAAUGGCAUUCAUUCCCAGGCAAGACACUGUUAAAUCCGCUAAUUAUUGGCUCAUCAAAAUCUUUUAAAGAGAAACCCAGCAAGAGAAGUGCAA